GAGUAAUACAUAAGUAACCUGCCCUAGACAGGGGGAUAACUAUUGGAAACGAUAGCUAAGACCGCAUAGGUACGGACACUGCAUGGUGACCGUAUUAAAAGUGCCUCAAAGCACUGGUAGAGGAUGGACUUAUGGCGCAUUAGCUGGUUGGCGGGGUAACGGCCCACCAAAGCGACGAUCAGUAGCCGGCCUGAGAGGGUGAACGGCCACAUUGGGACUGAGACACGGCCCAGACUCCUACGGGAGGCAGCAUG
rnacentral:rRNA from 1 species